GGCGUCUUGAGGUUAGUGAGGUUUGUAGUUUGAAAAUUUGGUCUAAAAAACCAUUUUCUUUGAUAUAAAGAAACGAAAGUAUAGUUUGGGAGAUGUCUAAUUCAUCUUGUUAUCGAUUGCAUUGGUCUUGUUCUCAAGAAAUUUGGCUAAGCAGUUCAGUUUAACCAAGAAUGUUGAGAGUAUUCUUUUGGCAAGAUGGAUCAUGGUAUAAAAACACAAACGAUAAUAACAGCUAGCCUCGUGGUGACCUCUAUAACAUGACCAUUAAUCAUGCCUCCUGCCUAAGAACAUGAAAUCUGUUUUAAAAGGCAGUAGCAGGAUACUUCGCUCUGUGUCAGCCCUUUGAUCUGCAGUGUAAGAAACCUGUAUUGCAUGAGGUGAGCAGUGAAAUAAACCUGUAUUGCCAUGAAGUGAGCAGUGAAAUGGGAACAUGCUAAAGAAAUAAUUUAACCCAUAGUGGCCAGAAACAGUCUUUGUGAAGAAGCACCUAGGACAGUUUCCACUUUGCAGGGUUUGUCAUGAAGAAGCCAAUGACAACAACUAAUGCAAGACUGCUGYGUAAUCAAGCAAGACCAAGAUCAAAUUAUUACAUUUGUUGAAAUAAAAUUGUUAAAAGCAA